rnacentral:rRNA from 1 species
GAUGUCUGGUGUGGUGCACCGAGCCCGCUCCUUAUGGGAGUGAGUGCUUGCGUGCGCCUACCAUACUUCAGGAGAGCGGCGUGCGGUCCUUCACUGGGCUGUGCGUGUCAGCCAUCCUGAUCGUUUACUUUGAAAAAAUUAGAGUGUUUAAAGCAGGCAGUUUGCUAUGAAUACAUUAGCAUGGAAUAAUAAGAUAGGACUUUGGUUCUAUUUUGUUGGUUUCUAGGACUGAAGUAAUGAUUGAUAGGGACAGUUGGGGGUGCUAGUAUUUAACGGCCAGAGGUGAAAUUCUUGGAUUCGUUAAAGACUAACUUAUGCGAAAGCAUU